rnacentral:tRNA from 1 species
UGUUGUGUGGCUUAGUUGGUUAAAGCACCGGUCUAGCGAAUACGGAGUCGUGGGUUCGAAUCUCACCAGAACGC